UACAGAGGUCUCAAGCGUUGUUCGGAUUCAUUGGGCGUAAAGGGCGCGUAGGCUGCGGGGCAAGUCGGGUGUGAAAUCUCAGAGCUCAACUCUGAAACUGCACUCGAUACUGCUUUGCUCGAGGACUGGAGAGGAGAUUGGAAUUCACGGUGUAGCAGUGAAAUGCGUAGAUAUCAGGAGGAACACCGGUGGCGAAGGCGGUUCUCUGGGCAUGUCCUGACGCUGAGGAGCGAAAGUGUGGGGAGCGAACAGG
rnacentral:rRNA from 1 species